rnacentral:rRNA from 1 species
GACGAACGCUGGCGGCGUGCUUAACACAUGCAAGUCGAACGGACAGACAGAGAGCUUGCUCUCUUGAAGUUAGUGGCGAACGGGUGAGUAACGCGUAAUCAACCUGCCCUUCAGAGGGGGAUAACAACGGGAAACCGUUGCUAAUACCGCGUACGAUUCAUGAACGGCAUCGUUUAUGAAUGAAAGGUGGCCUCUAUGUAUAAGCUAUCGCUGAAGGUGGGGUUUGGGUCUGAUUAGCUAGUUGGGGGGGUAACGGCCCACCAAGGCAAUGAUCAGUAGCCGGUCUGAGAGGAUGAACGGACACAUUGUGACUGAGACACGGCCCAAACUCCUACGGGAGGCAGCAGUGGGGAAUCUUCCGCAAUGGACGAAAGUCUGACGGAGCAACGCCGCGUGAGUGAUGAAGGUCUUCGGAUUGUAAAGCUCUGUUAAUCGGGACGAAAGAGUUCUGCGUGAAUAAUGCAGAAAAGUGACGGUACCGGAAUAGAAAGCCACGGCUAACUACGUGCCAGCCGCCGCAGUAA